UCAUUUUUUUCUCUAGAUGAUUAGGUUGAGAGAAUGAAAGGAUACCAUUUUAACCCAAUAUCCUGCCAGCGGCUGCUAAGAAGGAUACCAAUUAAUUCUAAUUGUAGUGGCAGCUUUUAGGAUGUUGACUCUUCUUUAUUAAGAUUAUAACCAGGAACUCAGUGCACAUAGGUCACAAUGUAGCUGUCAAAUGGCAGCAACUUCAAUCAAUACCCACCUGGAUUGGAUGCAACCUGAUGACCUAGAGAUUUUUUUAGAAGAAUGGAUUCAUUUUCAAGCAUCCUUCAAGUUUUCUUUCAGUUUCAUGUCAGACUGCUGUUUUACUCUGCAGCCUCUAUUAGACUGACCCCCGUAUUGCAUAGAAAUGGCUUAAAAUUCUCAACUGACAGAACCUGUAAAUGGCCAGGUUCCUGAUAUUGUGCUAAAUUUCAACUCUAGGAGAUGAGUAACAUUAUUACCCUGAUUUCACAAAUGAAGACGUUGAAAUACAAAGAAGUUAAAUAAUUUAUCCAAGAUGGUAUGGCACAUAUAAGAAGGAAUCAGAAUUUGAAUACAAACAGGAAUAAACAACAUUACAGACUGGCAAAGAAACCUGCUAAUGGUUUGCACAUUUUACUGUCAUUCAUAAAUUCACCUGUUGAAGUGAUACCCAGGGACUUUGUGAGAUCUCCAAAAGCCCAAAUAAAUAAAGUUUUUGGAGCUUCUGAAAUGUUACUUUUAAGGUAACCUCAGAUUUUAAUCCUAUUAUCUGGCCUUAUCAUAUCUUCUUUUCAGGGAAGUUUAAUUGACAAAGCACUGAAGAAACAUCAGAAGAUAUACAAAGAAUAGAGAAUAAUCAUGGGCAGAAUUCAUUUGAGUGAGCAAAGCUGAGGUUUUCAGGAAUUUGUCAUAGGGCAGUGGUAGGGUUAAGGUCAGAAUGAAAGGUAUUUGUGUCCAUUUCUACAGAUAGAGAAGAAAGGCUCCAUGAAGGAAAACCAAAACAUGUCCUAGGAGUUGCUUCCACUGACAUGAAGGUAGUCUUUGAAGCUCCCAUGAGAGAACCUCAUCCAUUCAGCUUACUUGGGACCAUCUAUGAAAUCUGACAGCCAGGGGAACAGAAAAUCUGCUGCAGUCAGCAUAUUUAUGCUAAGGAAAUAAACUUCCCAGGAGAAGCAUUGCAUAUCAUCCUAAAGUGGCAAUUUUA